CAGGCCAGCAUCAGUUCGCCCCGGGGGAUAAAGGUUUCGGGAAUGUGGCUCCUCCGGGAGUGUUAUAGCCCGUUGCGUAAUACCCUGGGACGGACUGAGGUUCGCGCUCUGCAAGGAUGCUGGCGUAAUGGUCAUCAACGACCCGUCUUGAAACACGG
rnacentral:rRNA from 1 species